CAGACAUACAGGCAAGCAAAGCACUCAGUAAGUUUAAAAAAAUCAAGAAAAAGUAUCUUUGGAUAACUUUGAUCUCAUUUAAUUGUAUCCUAUUUUGAAAUUUGUUUCCUCUCUGCUGCCGGUGGGGGUGGGGAGCUCUCCCCUUGUCUGAGCAAGGAGUCUCUUUUAUUUUAUUUUGAGACAGGGAGUCACACUGUAACUGUGGCUGCUUUGGUGUUCACUAUGUGGCUCUAGGCUGGCCUCAGACUCUCUUGCCUUAUCUUCCCAGUGGUCAGAUGACAGGCAUGCCCCAACAUACUAGAUUUGCUCAUGUAACUUCAAACCUAGGGAUGGAAAGACCCACAAAUAAAGAUGAGAAGGGACAAACAGGAGAAACUGCUAGGGGAAGCGGGUGACUCCCGGGCGCCAUCCAAUGGGACCAGUUCCAUCUGGGCAGGCCAUCCAGAAGCUGUCAUCUCUCAGGGAUAAUGAAGGCCAGCCGCAGCACCUUACAAGGCCAUCCAGGCAGCCAGCCGCUGGAAUCCCAGGGAUUACACAGCCUCUGGAGGGCUUGGAACAGGCUCGGGUCACCUGCUGCAGACACAAGUGUGUGCCUGGGCUGCUUCUGUCUUGUGACUGAGGAAUUUUGAAAUGGCAGUGCUGAGCUCACAAAGAAGAAAAUGUCUCCUUGAUGUCACACAGUUCGCUGCCAAACCAUCCAAGGAGCUGGGAGUGCGGACAUACAUGUCAAGUGAGUGUUCCACUACCCAGCAAAAUCUCCAGCCCCCGCUACCUGGAAAUUAUCAAUGACUGCACGUGCCCAGCUCUUCUGGACCCUCUGAUGUUCUGUCACAUGGGAGCAAAUGGAGAGCUGGGACAUCCUUUGACCUCAGCCCUCAAAGGAUAAUUAACUUCUUGCUCAAUCCCUCAGCAUUUGACCAAAAUACCAAGAUAAAAAUGUAGGCCCGUGUUAGUACAAAAGGUCCUGCAUUCAACUGUCCUCCUUAUAUUGCCCAAGAAGUCUUGUGGAAUUCCAAGAAGAAUUCAAGGGGCCAGACCUGGAAUAUGCAUCAAUGAGAAUAAGACACUGACGAAGCUAACGACACUAACGGGGAAUGAGGAUAAUCGACUCCUGUCCUUUGUUUUACUCUUUAACCUAGUAAUAAAUCCCUUUAAAGGCCCGUGGUAUUCGGAGCAUCCCGUGUGUGAAGUGCUCUCGCAGUUGUGGCCGGAAUGUGAGACCUAUAGGCUAAAGAUGUCAGGCUGAAUCUCAGGCAAGGGGUGUGCUGAAAGGAUCGGAGGAAGGGCGAGGGGAGCCCAGCCGAGAUAAUGAGGGCCAGCAAGAUGGAUUAGUGAAUAAAGGUGUUUGGGUUUUUUGUUUUGUUUUUUGGUUUUUAUGGUUUUUCGAGACAGGGUUUCUCUGUGUAGCCCUGGCUGUCUUGGAACUCACUCUGUAGACCAGGCUGCCUCUCAAGUGCUGGGAUUAAAGGUGUGCGCCACCACUGCCC
rnacentral:lncRNA from 1 species